GGAUCUUAAUUACACACUACACCAAGAAUAGUGUGACAACGUUCUUCCAGACAGUAGAUCGUUUAGCCAGCCCUUCGGAACCACCAGCUCUUCUAAAGUUUAUCAAGUCCCAAAGGAAGGUACUGAAGACAUUAGCUGCCAUCUGAACUGAUGAUGUGGGGUUUUUAUUCUUGAACUAAAAUAGAAAGAAAAAGAAAAACCUCCACACAAGCCAACAGUGUCAAGCCCCCUGUGUUACACUCUUAUAAGAGAAGAAUUCCUUCCUUCUUGUAGGAAUUUGAAGUUUUGUAAUGUUCACAAGAGUGUCCUACAGUGUUCAGUGGGUGCAUACAUAUUGAUGCUAUAACCACACCCCUCCAUCAAAUUCAUCUUCAAUAAGAACCCAUGGAAGAGACCAUGGCAAAUGAUGCACCUUUAUAUUCAUGUAGGUCAAACUGACCUUGAACUGGCUAUGGAGCUGAAGGUAGUCUUGAGCUUCCUACCAUCCUACCUGGGCUCGCAGGUAUGCAUCACCAGGUCCAGUUGAUGCAGUGUUGGGGGUUAGACCCAGCACUGUGUGCACGGUAAGCAAACACUCCACCCACUGAGCCAAAGCGCUAGCCCUAGACACAACUGUCUGGUAGUUAAAAUAGCAGCUGUUCCACAAAAAGACCGAGCUGUGAGCUUGGGAUGGUCUACUGUUACUCAUUUGAAUGAUUCAGAUGAAAGAGGACGACCAAAUUCUAAUAACUAAGGAGAAUCAAAUGACUCUUUCGAUCGAUUCCCCGAGCUGUGUUGUGUCUCCGUGAGGCCUAGGGUUAGCCUAGACAAACCCUGCACAGGUGAGUAAGGGACAGCCACAGCUGAGAGUCUGUCACCAGUCACUCAAGGAGAGCACAGACUCUCCUCCCGGGAAUGGCACCAUGGAGACAGAUCCCUUCCACACCUGCCUUGGAGUCCCAGCCAACGUGUCGUGUAAACUACUAAAUUACAUAAUGACGGAACCAGGGACAACGCUGGGGAAGGAUGUGUUUAUUAUAUCAGACCUCGAGGACUUGUUUGGAGAACCAUCUGGUCAGCCAUGGAAGCGAAAAGAAUGAAGGUCUCCAAGGUGUCCCUUCUCCAGGGUCACGCAGACAUAGUUAGCUGAUGAGGAAAAAUACUUUCAUCUCUGUUGGGCAGUUAACCCUGACUCCAGUGCUGUGCAGUUUUGGAUGAAUAAGUGAAUGUCCCUUUUUUUGGAAAUAGGACCAUGUAUGGGCUCACCAUGGCAGGCCCUGUAGCACUCAAGAGACUGAGGCAGCCUGGGCUACUGUUGUAGUUUGAGUACAGAGUAUUCCCUAGAUGGUUCGAUUUGGGGACAACCUUUAGAAGGUGGGCCUAUAUGGCAGAAGCGGGUCACCGGACGUAGACCUCUAAAUGUUACACUCGGCCCCUGCUAUACCGUCUCUCAGCAUCCCAACCCCUGACUAUGUGAACAGUCUCUGCCACAGGCUCCUACCACCAUCAUCUGAACUGUUCUGCCAUGCCUUCUUCUCUGUGGCGGACUGAGCCUUCUAAAACCGGGAGCCAAGAUAAGUCUCUCCUGUGAAUUGUUUCUGUGGACAUUUUAUCACAGCAAUGCAAAAGUAACUAAGAAAAGUAGCCUCAUAAGGAGGCCUUGUCUCAAAAACAGG
rnacentral:lncRNA from 1 species